rnacentral:rRNA from 1 species
CAGCCGCCGCGGUAAUACCGGCGGCCCGAGUGGCGGCCACUAUUAUUGGGCCUAAAGCGUCCGUAGCCGGGCUGGUAAGUCCCCCGGGAAAUCUGGCGGCUUAACCGUCAGAAUUCCGGGGGAUACUGCCAGCCUAGGGACCGGGAGAGGCCGGGGGAAUUCCCGGGGUAGGGGUGAAAUCCUAUAAUCCCGGGAGGACCACCUGUGGCGAAGGCGCCCGGCUGGAACGGGUCCGACGGUGAGGGACGAAGGCCAGGGGAGCGAACCGGAUUAGAUACCCGGGUAGUCCUGGCUGUAAAGGAUGCGGGCUAGGUGUCGGGUGAGCUUCGGGCUCGCCCGGUGCCGUAGGGAAGCCGUUAAGCCCGCCGCCUGGGGAGUACGGCCGCAAGGCUGAAACUUAAAGGAAUUGGCGGG